rnacentral:rRNA from 1 species
UACGAAGGGGGGCUAGCGUUGUUCGGAAUUACUGGGCGUAAAGCGUAUGCAGGCGGAUCGUUAAGUCGGGGGUGAAAUCCCGAGGCUCAACCUCGGAACUGCCUUCGAUACUGGCGAUCUUGAGUCCGGGAGAGGUGAGUGGAACUCCGAGUGUAGAGGUGAAAUUCGUAGAUAUUCGGAAGAACACCAGUGGCGAAGGCGGCUCACUGGCCCGGUACUGACGCUGAGAUACGAAGCGUGGGGAGCAAACAGG